AAUGAACGCUGGCGGCGUGCCUAACACAUGCAAGUCGAGCGAACAGACGAGGAGCUUGCUCCUCUGACGUUAGCGGCGGACGGGUGAGUAACACGUGGAUAACCUACCUAUAAGACUGGGAUAACUUCGGGAAACCGGAGCUAAUACCGGAUAAUAUAUUGAACCGCAUGGUUCAAUAGUUAAAGACGGUUUUGCUGUCACUUAUAGAUGGAUCCGCGCCGCAUUAGCUAGUUGGUAAGGUAACGGCUUACCAAGGCAACGAUGCGUAGCCGACCUGAGAGGGUGAUCGGCCACACUGGAACUGAGACACGGUCCAGACUCCUACGGGAGGCAGCAGUAGGGAAUCUUACGCAAUGGGCGAAAGCCUGACGGAGCAACGCCGCGUGAGUGAUGAAGGUCUUCGGAUCGUAAAACUCUGUUAUUAGGGAAGAAAAAAUGUGUAAGUAACUAUGCACGUCUUGACGGUACCUAAUGAGAAAGCCCCGGCUAACUACGUG
rnacentral:rRNA from 1 species